AUGAANGAGGAGCUUGACAAGAACAAGGCCACACUGGUGUGUCUGGUCAGUGACUUCUACCCCGGCAGCGUGACGGUGGCCUGGAAGGCAAAUGGCAAGCCUGUCACCCAGGGCGUGGAGACCACCAAGGCCUCGAAACAGAGCAACAACAAGUACGCGGCCAGCAGCUACCUGAGCCUGCGCUCGAAAGCAGAGUGGAGCUCUGUCAGCAGCUUCAGCUGCCAGGUCACGCACGACGGCAACACUGUGGAGAAGACAGUGGUCCCCUCAGAGUGUUCGUAG